UACGGAGGGUGCAAGCGUUGCUCGGAAUUAUUGGGCGUAAAGGGUAGGUAGGUGGUCUCAUUUGUCUGGGGUGAAAGCCUUGAGCUUAACUCAAGAAGUGCCCCAGAAACGGUGAGACUAGAGUCCUGGAGAGGGUCGUGGAAUUCCCGGUGUAGCGGUGAAAUGCGUAGAGAUCGGGAGGAACACCAGAGGCGAAGGCGGCGACCUGGACAGGUACUGACACUGAGGAGCGAAAGCCAGGGGAGCAAACGGG
rnacentral:rRNA from 1 species